rnacentral:rRNA from 1 species
AUUGAACGCUGGCGGCAGUCCUAACACAUGCAAGUCGAACGAGUGGCGGACGGGUGAGUAAUGUCUGGGAAACUGCCUGAUGGAGGGGUAUAACUACUGGAAACGGUAGCUAAUACCGCAUACCAUCGGAUGUGCCCUCGCGGGAUUAGCUAGUAGAUGGGGAAAUGGCUCACCUAGGCGACGAUCCCCAGCUGGUCUGAGAGGAUGACCAGCAACAAUGGAACUGAGACACGGUCCAGACUCCUACGGGAGGGAGCAGUAGGGAAUAGUGCACAAUGGGCGAAAGCCUGAUGCAGCCAUGCCGCGUGUAUGGAGAAGGCCUUCGGGUUGUAAAAUAAUAUCAGCGGGGAGGCGUUACCGGCAGAAGAAGCACCGGCGAACUCCGUGCCAGCAGCCGCGGUAAUAC